rnacentral:tRNA from 1 species
GCCCAGAUGGUGAAAUGGUAGACACGAGGGACUUAAACUCCCUUAGCCAAUUAGGCUGUGCCGGUUCGAGCCCGGCUCUGGGUA